rnacentral:tRNA from 1 species
GACAUAGCAUGGUAUAGUGGUUUGAGCAUUAGACUAGGAUUCUGGAGACCAGGGUUCAAGUCCCUGCUCAGCCA